UCCAACCGGAAACGGUCCAUGAGGAAGUCGUACCUGUCACAGAGCGGCCCCGUGUGUUCCCCGCAGAGAGGAGGCCAGAGGAGCGGCCGCGGGAGCAACGUGCGUGGGAAACGCGUUAACGGCGUUGCACGCGACAGGAAGCCCAAUUAACAGGCACGGCCCGGCGGCCAGCGGCGCGGCGCGGCGCGCGAGCCACUCCGCCAUCAACCGCCACUGCUUUGGAGGCGAAGAAAGUGAAACCUGAGUAAAGUUCCCCUGUUCUCAAAAUUAAAAAACAAAACACAGAUUUGUGCGCGGACCACGUGGGCACAGUCGGGAGCGAUAUCAGAUGCUGGGUGUAAUUCUAAUGGACGACGUCGCUGAAGAACAGACGUUUGCCCGCUGCCCUCUUCACACCGAGGCCCCGUCAGCGCAGCUGGAUCUCAGACUCCGGACCUGCACGUGCGCUAAUGACUGAACAAUAUUCCAGCCUGCAGCUGUUUGAAAGCGGCGGCGAGCUGCCUGAUGAGGAUGAUGAUGAUGAUGAUGAUGAUGCCACAUACGUACGGCUGUGAUACACUGCAGCACAGGCGGCGGCGGCGCCGGCCUCGGAGCCCGGAGACGAUCCGGCUGCAGCAUCGGGCCGGACGGAAGGAGGCCUGGUGUGCUGCUGCACAGACCCACUCUGAGCUUUCAGAAAAGACACAUUACUGUGAGAGAAUAGAAUUACAAGGUAUAUUAGAAGUAAGCGCCUGCAUCAUUUGCUGCAAUUACGCCUCGUAAAACCCGGCGCUCGGCGUUGGACGCGAAACCAAAAAGCCAAGUCUGAGCGAGAGGAGCGGAACCCGGUCCCCGGCAGCGGCCGCCGAUUGACGUGUCUGCGAGAAAUCAGAUUUCGUGAACAGCUCCAAAGUUGUUGCUUCAGCCAUUAAUCAUCCAUCCCUGGAGAAGGGAGCUCAGUGGAGCACGGGGCCCUCGCUGCGUCGCCACGACCGACUGGAAGCCAAACCCGGCGCUCUCCAACAAUAGAUGCCCCGACGUGACACCAUUUUGUUGGAGUGUGCGAGUGCGCGUCUGUGCGACGGGGGCAGGACGCAUUCUUGAAAGUACAGUGACACCUAAAGGCCUAAUCCUAUAGGCCCUGCGCUCUCUCUCCCCCUCUCUCGCUCCAACACUUGAGUCAAGGACAUAGUGAAAUUUGGAGGAAAAACUGAUGAGUUUUCACUUUUACUGCACUUGAUAGUUCCAAGCGCUUGCACGGGGCAUCAAAUUCCUCUCCUAAUGACAUGCCUGGGGCUGCCUGCAGGAAAAGUGGCAUUUUCAUCUCCAACCUGAGCAUCUGAUUGGACAUUGGGUGGGAAAGCCAAAAAAUGGAUGCGCUGCGGGUUUUUUUCUAAAUGUUAGUGCUGUUACAAUGGCACUGUAUUACACUGUAGGUGCUGCUUUUGUGCCCUCAAACCAGCCAUUUCCCUUUCACAUCUUGUUUUAUUUAUUUCCUGUGUGUGUUUUUAUAUGUUUCUUGAAUACAAAGGUCAGGUUCUGAGCAUUUUCACAGGGCUAUAGCCAAAACCAAAUCAAGUUUACCAUGGAUUUAUCACAGUAAAAAGUAAUUAUGAUGUUAACGGACAUAAUCUGAAGGACUUUAUUUACGAUUAUUUACGAUACGACUAUUAAUUAGGUAAGUAUGCAGUUUUAUACUGUAUAUUUGUAUUUGUUUUACGUUACUGUGAAUGCUCACAGAGGCUCCUUUUGUAUUAUUUUAUGGCGUUUACAGUGAAGGUUUACUCUCACACACACACAAAGCACACAUUCCCCAGCUGAACAGCACCACUGUAGUGGUGAGAUCCUUUUUGGGCAGCCCUUUGAUCUCAUCCCGUCUCCUGUGUCUGCUUUCACGGCCAGCUCUGCAUGCAGAGACAGUUUUUAAUAUGGCAGUGCACCCCGGGUCUCAGAGUAACAAUAAACUUUACCUUCAACUGUCAGCAGGUCUUAAUCACUGGGAUUAUUGCGGCACUAAAUGUUGGAUUACUAGUAAUAUUCCUGCCGGUGAAAAAAGGUAAACAGACUCAAAGAGAUAAAUAUCGGCCCCCAUCUCAGCAGAAAUAUCCUUUGGAGUUCACAAUCUCAUUUUCAUCACUUGCAAAUACGGCGCAGAAGUCCAAACCGAGAAAUAAUAAGGCUCAGUUUCGAUUAAUGUGGAGAAUCGCAGCGGAAUUUUCUCCCACAACUGUACAAUCGGUCAUUCUCAAAGAGCCGUCAGCGGGGCUGUUAUUCGCCGUCCCGUGAGACGCCGGGGCUGGAGCUCACCAAGCUACAGGAGCUAAUGGAGCUUCAGAGGCCUGCGAAUGGCAGGCAGCGGUCUCUGCGGGCAGGACGCACCUAGACAUCCAUUUAGCUUUAUUUCCUGUAGGAUGAUGAGACAAUCCAGAUAUCAUCCACAUUAUUAUUAUUGUUAUUAUUAUCAUUAUUAUCAUUAUUAUUGUUUGAUUGUGGUACAAACAUAUUUUUAUUUAAAUUGUAAUUAUACACUACAAUAAAUAUAAAUUAUUGUGUAAUUUGCAGCAGUGUUGCUAUAUUUUUUAAAUUAUUUUAUAUAUAUGUAUAUUAGUUUAGAUUUACAUAUUAACAGAAUAUGUAACAACACACAUUCUAAUUCCGUUGUGUCCUAAUUGUCUUUCUCUCGUAACAGAAUAUUUAUUUGAAUUCACGCACUUUGCACUAGAGUGGAGUUUCCUGUUACGUCCACACUCUGCUGCGUCCAUAUAUGUUACCGUAGCUUAGCUGCUCGGCUGAAAUCGACCCUUCAUCUGCUUCAUCUUGCUUUGAAACCACCACUGGAUUAGAGGCUGCUGUCUGGGCCGGCUCGACUCCCCAGCGACGGGGGUCUCACGCCUGGGCCAGGGAUGAUUUAAACAAUGCACGAGAGCAGGCUGUUCAGGGAAGCUAAAGGUUGGGCCUUGAACAAGUGUUCAUGCAUUUUCAUCAACAGUGAGAUCAUUCACAGAGAACGCCAUUCAGGUUGCUGUGAGUGAAUACAUUAAGCGAGAAGGCGCAGCCAUUUAUUGCCAUGGUGCUGUAUAGUCAAUGCUGAGGCUGUGCAUGGCUGCCUCUUGGGCGCAUCUGAUGUUUUUUUUAUUCUUAGUUCCUCAUUCAUUUAAUUGCAUCCCACAUGUGACCAUACCUCCCUUUUCAGCCACUCAAACCGAUUUAAAUGUAUAAAUAAACCAAUGCAGUCGCACGCUUCUCCCCCAAACUACAACCACAUGAAUAUUUUCAUAGUAAACUUGUGUUCUGCUAAUAAAGCAGCGUUUUUUCACACGUUUGUCUUUGGGUUUUUCUGCACAAAGCUUGGCGGGCGAAGCGAAUAUUGUCAUGCAGAGACGUUUUCCAUCACCCUGUUUCUUUUAGCUAAUUAAAUUGCUAUGAGUCCUGCUAUCACAGUGUUAGCACCACAGAUAUAUGAUGGCAGUCUUUAUUGAAAUGAUUUCCAUGGGUGUUUGUCUCACUCCUGGCUCUGUGUCAGGCUUUUAGGAAGAGAGACGGGGAAAGAAAGAGGUGGGGAGAGACAGAGGGGGACGUGGAGAAGAGAGAAUAUGAAAUUGAUUAGUGAGCUGGGAUGGAAACUAAAGACUUCAUCAGGAUCACUUUGUGCAGUCUUCACAAUAGGCUGUGAAACAAUGCAGCCUCCCUAAUGAGGACAGAGAGACGGGGACUGUGUGCAUGCGCGUACCUGGUGUGUGUGUGUGUGUGUGUGUGUGUGUGUGUGUGUGUGUGUGUGUGUGUGUGUGUGUGUGUGUGUGUGUGUGUGUGUGUGUGUGUGUGUGUGUGUGUGUGUGUGUGUGUGUGUGUGUGUGUGUGUGUGUGUGUGUGUGUGUGUUGUGCCACUGAAAUGAAAGUGAAGGGGAUCAGAAGGGGAGUGUGUCACAUUCAUUCACACCCUCCAAUGCAACCUGAUUUUAUUUUAGUUUUGUUGUUAAUUCAAAAUUUUUUUCAACCUUUAGGCAAAAAGAAAUACAAACCAAAAAAGAAAAAUUUCCUUCAAAUUUUCACCUGACUGCUGUUGAAUUAGGAUGAAUUAUUUUCAACAUUUUUGAAAAAAAGAUUUGAAUUCCUAUUACUAACCAAAACAAACGUUAUCUUUAUUUUUUUAUUCAACAAAUAUUUCUUUUUACAUGUAUUACUAUAUAGAAUUAAUUUAUAUUUUUUUCAGUGGUAAUUAACAGGUAUUAGCUUGCUGACAAAUUUAUAAUUUUUAGUACUGUACGUAUUUUUUAUUUUAUUUUUAUAUUUUAUUUAUUUUUUUAUUUUAGCAGUGCCAUUAUAUCUGUAUUUUUAUUAUUAUUAUUAUUGUUAUUAAUUUUAAAUUUUUCUAAAACUUUAAACCUUCCCCAUCUUCUUUAUCGAAUAUCUUAUACAAUAAUUGGUUGGUAUACAAGAGAUUCAUUGCCAUUAUACAGUUUUGUUGCUGCUUAUAAUCUUAUAUCUUUUAGGAAUCCAUUUUAUCCAUCUGAAUCCAUUGAACUGUCCAAAUCAGAUCUACACCCUGAGCAUCUUUGUUGUUGUUGGUUGACGUUCACCCCCAUGGUUAUGGCGCUUGCUGUCAUUUGUAUUUGCAGUACGUAACCACUGCUACAGAAACAUUAGCAGCACUGCUCCCCAAACCUGGAAACCCACUGAAAUACAUUGCCUAAUACUGUAGUGAAAGCUUGACAGACAUGCUCAUGACGAUACUAAACAGUGGAGCCAUAAUCUACACAUUCUGAGU